rnacentral:rRNA from 1 species
CAGUAGCCGCGGGAAUACGAGGGGGGCAAGCGUUGUUCGGAAUUAUUGGGCGUAAAGGGUGCGUAGGCGGUUUGAUAAGUCAUCUGUGAAAUCUAUGGGCUCAACCCAUAGUCUGCAGGCGAAACUGUCGGGCUUGAGUAUUGGAGAGGUGAGUGGAAUUUCCGGUGUAGCGGUGAAAUGCGUAGAUAUCGGAAGGAACACCUGUGGCGAAAGCGGCUCACUGGACAAUUACUGACGCUGAUGCACGAAAGCUAGGGGAGCAAACAGGAUUAGAUACCCCAGUAGUCCCUGUCUCUUAUAC